GUGCUUGGUCUGGCAACACUUGUAAUAAAAUUGGAACCAUAUACGAAGAAGAUUCACAUUGCACCUGCGCAAGGAUGACACACAAAUUGGUUAAUCAUUUCAUACUUUU
rnacentral:snRNA from 1 species